UACGUAGGGGGCUAGCGUUGCUCGGAUUGACUGGGCGUAAAGGGCGCGUAGGCGGAUAGUACAGUCAGGCGUGAAAUUCCUGGGCUCAACCUGGGGGCUGCGUUUGAUACGUGUUGUCUGGAGUUCGGAAGAGGGUCGUGGAAUUCCCAGUGUAGAGGUGAAAUUCGUAGAUAUUGGGAAGAACACCGGUGGCGAAGGCGGCGACCUGGUCCGAUACUGACGCUGAGGCGCGAAAGCGUGGGGAGCAAACAGG
rnacentral:rRNA from 1 species